AGAGUGAAGAAAUCUAGCUAAGCAUGCGCGCGUAGACAGAAUGGCGUGUCUGUUUCUCUGCUCCCGACUGUGGAUGUGAUGGGUUGGAUGCUUGAGUUCCUGCCUUGACUUUCCCAGAGUGAUGGGUGAUUUGCAACUUGCCUGGCAUACAGCAAAUGCUUGUGACACUUGUGCGUUGUGACUGUGAAAUGACUCACCCAGCUCCAUGUGCCCUGGAGACCUUCAGCAGUGUGAUGUUGAGCCAGACCGGACGCCUGCUAAAGUGCUGUCUCGCUGCCUGCCUGGCUCCAUGCCAGACCAUUUCCACUGCAAGCUACUCUUAAGGAAGAUGCGUGCUGAGGGUCCUCUGCCCACACUGGAAUCUCCUCUCCUAUGCUCAAAAAUGGCUCAACCCAUGUCUUGAGUUUUGUUUUUGCCCGUCCGAGAUGUUUAAGCUUCUAAAAUCCUUGUAUCUGCA